rnacentral:rRNA from 1 species
CUUGAACGCUGGCGGCAGGCUUAACACAUGCAAGUCGAACGAGUGGCGGAGGGGUGAGUAAUGCUUGGGACUCUAUCUUAUGGCGGGGGAUAACUCCGGGAACCUGUAGCUAAUACCGCUUACCUUAGGAUUAUCCCAAGUGGGAUUCGGUAGUUGGUGAGGUACAGGCUCACCAAGCCGACGAUCUCUAGCUCGUCUGAGAGGAUGAGCGGCCACACGGGGACUGAGCCACGGUCCAGACUCCUACGGGAGGCAGCAGUGGGGAAUCUUGCGCAAUGGGAGAAACCUGACGCAGCAAUGCCGCGUGAAUGAAGAAGGCCUUCGGAUUGUAAAGUUCUUUCAGUAGCGAGGCGUUAACUACAGAAAAAGCAACGGCUAACUCCGUGCCAGCAGCCGCGGUAAUAC